UGCUUAACACAUGCAAGUCGAACGAUGAACCACUUCGGUGGGGAUUAGUGGCGAACGGGUGAGUAACACGUGGGCAAUCUGCCCUUCACUCUGGGACAAGCCCUGGAAACGGGGUCUAAUACCGGAUAUGAGCCUGGGAGGCAUCUCCCGGGUUGUAAAGCUCCGGCGGUGAAGGAUGAGCCCGCGGCCUAUCAGCUUGUUGGUGAGGUAAUGGCUCACCAAGGCGACGACGGGUAGCCGGCCUGAGAGGGCGACCGGCCACACUGGGACUGAGACACGGCCCAGACUCCUACGGGAGGCAGCAGUGGGGAAUAUUGCACAAUGGGCGAAAGCCUGAUGCAGCGACGCCGCGUGAGGGAUGACGGCCUUCGGGUUGUAAACCUCUUUCAGCAGGGAAGAAGCGAAAGUGACGGUACCUGCAGAAGAAGCGCCGGCUAACUACGUGCCAGCAGCCGCGGUAAUACGUAGGGCGCAAGCGUUGUCCGGAAUUAUUGGGCGUAAAGAGCUCGUAGGCGGCUUGUCACGUCGAUUGUGAAAGCCCGAGGCUUAACCUCGGGUCUGCAGUCGAUACGGGCUAGCUAGAGUGUGGUAGGGGAGAUCGGAAUUCCUGGUGUAGCGGUGAAAUGCGCAGAUAUCAGGAGGAACACCGGUGGCGAAGGCGGAUCUCUGGGCCAUUACUGACGCUGAGGAGCGAAAGCGUGGGGAGCGAACAGGAUUAGAUACCCUGGUAGUCCACGCCGUANACGGUGGGAACUAGGUGUUGGCGACAUUCCACGUCGUCGGUGCCGCAGCUAACGCAUUAAUUCCCCCGCUGGGGAGUACGGCCCGCAGGCUUAAACUCAAAGGAUUGACGGG
rnacentral:rRNA from 1 species